UACGGGGGGGGUAAGCGUUGUUCGGAAUUACUGGGCGUAAAGGGCUCGUAGGCGGCCAACUAAGUCAGACGUGAAAUCCCUCAGCUUAACUGGGGAACUGCGUCUGAUACUGGAUGGCUUGGAUUCGGGAGAGGAAUGCGGAAUUCCAGGUGUAGCGGUGAAAUGCGUAGAUAUCCGGAGGAACACCGGUGGCGAAGGCGGCUUCCUGGACCGACACUGACGCUGAGGCGCGAAAGCGUGGGGAGCAAACGGG
rnacentral:rRNA from 1 species